UACGGAGGGUGCAAACGUUGCUCGGAAUCAUUGGGCGUAAAGGGCGCGUAGGCGGCCACGCACGUCCGUUGUGAAAUCGCCCGGCUCAACUGGGCGGGGUCAGCGGAUACGGUGUGGCUCGAGCAAGCUAGGGGGCAAUGGAAUUCCCGGUGUAGUGGUGGAAUGCGUAGAUAUCGGGAGGAACACCAGUGGCGAAGGCGGUUGCCUGGAGCUUUGCUGACGCUGAGGCGCGAAAGCGUGGGGAGCGAUCCGG
rnacentral:rRNA from 1 species